CCACAAAGCCAGAACCCUUAUAGGUGUGAUCUCCUGGCUUGGCCUCUGGGACUGGUUUAGGAGGAGGAUUUGCAAGUAAGGAGGAGAGCGGCAUGGAGGAUCAAGGCUUCUCCCCACCAGUCUGCUCCUCACCAGGAUCAGAGUGAUGUUUCUACAGUGUCCCUGUCCUUGUCUCUCUCCUGCCUGAAGUCCUUAAUUGGCCCCAUGUCACCCACAAGCCAGAGGUCCAGCUCCUUGACAUGAUCAGAAGGAUCUUCAUCAUCAGACCCCAG
rnacentral:lncRNA from 1 species